rnacentral:miRNA from 7 species
AACUGGCCCUCAAAGUCCCGCU